AGAUUGACACUGGCAGCGUGCAAGAAAUCAGUGUGACAACUAUAUUUUAUUGAAAAAUACCAUAUUGAUGCAAUUCUAAUGGCAAAAGACACUUUAAUGCUGUAGAAUAAGUUGGUUGAACCCAAGGUGAAUCAAAUUUGUCAUAAAACAUUCAAAGCUUUGCCUUCUUAUGUAAUACAAACAUGUUAGAUCUUUUUGGAAGUGACUGACUCCCUGUUGGGAAAGUUUCCAAACAAAAUCCACAUUUUGUAGAUAAUUGGUAACCAAUCAGAUCGCUCGAAUUUGAUGACGUAUACUCAACCCUUUGGGGCUCGCGGGUCUACAUCCAGGGUCCCUAGUCCUGACUCAAGAUCAGGAGAACGGCAGGUUGACAUUUUCCUACUCAUUUAAGACGUUUUGAGUUUUUACUCUUUUUAGCUAGUGACGGGAGCCAUAACCGAGCUCCUUGAAGCUAAAGAGCAGACUUUCCGGAUCCAAAGACAUCACUAGUUGACAGUCCAUAUUUCCAGAAGUUCGUGAUUUAUUUAUUUUUUAUUUGACAUUGGAAACUGGCCACAUUUUUGCCCAAAAUUGCAACAUUGACUACUUUGUUGCUAACACCUUGGUAAACCUCUUUCCUUGUCUUGCGGUUGUCACUUAUCAGUACAGAUUCCUUCUAGUCCUCCGCCUUUUCAUACCGACAUUUUGAGAUAUGGAUAAUCAAGCACAAGCUACCCCUCAACAUCCACAGCCACCAUUGUACGCGCCUCCGGAUUUGUAUUCGCCCAGUCUCUCCAUCCACAAACUGCAAUCGGAUUCUGCCAUUGAUAACUCUUUUCCAAAGUUUUGAAGAGUUGUGUCGUCAGCAAACAAAGUUACCAUAAAAUUUGUUGCUUUCGGAAGGUCAUUCGUGUAUAUCAAGAAAAGCAAUGGACCCAGGACACUACCCUGCGGCACGCCACAACUAAUUGUCAUGGGCUCGGAUAAAUGUCCAUCAAUAUCCAUCACUUGCGCUCUGCCAGUUAAAUACUCCUUCAACCUAAAUAGUAUGUUCUUGCUGAAACCGUAUUUGCCCAUUUUUGCUAAAAGAAUGUGAGAAAUGUUGUCAAAAGCCUUCUUCAGAUCUACAAAAAUUCCUAUUGACAUUGUUUGGUCUUGGUUUUCAAAUUGUUUUGAAGGAAAUUAUAAAUCGCGUGAGAAGUU